rnacentral:rRNA from 1 species
UACGUAGGGGGCUAGCGUUGUCCGGAAUCAUUGGGCGUAAAGCGCGUGUAGGCGGUCCGGUAAGUCCGCUGUGAAAGUCGGGGGCUCAACCCUCGGAUGCCGGUGGAUACUGUCGGGCUUGAGUACGGAAGAGGCGAGUGGAAUUCCUGGUGUAGCGGUGAAAUGCGCAGAUAUCAGGAAGAACACCAAUGGCGAAGGCAGCUCGCUGGGACGGUACUGACGCUGAGACGCGAAAGCGUGGGGAGCAAACAGG